GCUAUCAUCAUCAUCCCUAUGGAGGAGGCAACACAUGAGCUUGGGAAUUGAGGCAGGAUCGCGCAGCUAACUGUCUGAAGCAGGAUUUAAAUCCAGACCUUUCCAAAUCCAAGGCCAUAGCUCUACUAUGCUGAAGCCUAACCUUCUAGGCCUUCUUCCUUCACACCGUUUCUCUCCCUGCCCUAACUCUAUCACAGGGCCCACAGACUUCAUGCCCAGAAGAUUCCUCUACACUGCUGAGGCCCCCUGAAUCACACAUUCCUGAGAACUGAGCACCCAGGCCCCACUGUUUGCUGGCUCUGCUCCUAGCAUAAUAGACAUUUCCAGUUUUGAAGUCUGUCGCCUCAUCAAAUAGAAACACCUUGAAGCAAGUAAGAACACAUAAAAGAGUUUUCAGCAAAAAGACAGAAUGCAGAACGAACCUACUGCCCAAGUCGCUCAGUUAUCACAAGAAAGCGGGCAAGUCAAGAGGAACAGAAACUUUCAUCAAGAGGAAUGGAAGACCAUCAGGUCUGAAGAGCUGGCUUUGUCCCUUGGUCUGGGAAUGCAUAUGUGGGGUGUGUGUAAAGAACUUCACGAUCUAUUCUGUCCACUGAGAGAGUUGGGACAGUUUUCCAAUAAAGUAGACAUCAUGCUUUCUUUGAUUUUG